UACGGGGGGGGCAAGCGUUGUUCGGAAUUACUGGGCGUAAAGGGCUCGUAGGCGGCCAACUAAGUCAGACGUGAAAUCCCUCGGCUUAAUCGGGGAACUGCAUCUGAUACUGGAUGGCUUGAGUUCGGGAGAGGGAUGCGGAAUUCCAGGUGUAGCGGUGAAAUGCGUAGAUAUCGGAAGGAACACCAGUGGCGAAAGCGGCUCCCUGGUCCAGCACCGACGUUCAGGCACGAAAGCGUGGGGAGCAAACAGG
rnacentral:rRNA from 1 species